UGCGGAAUUUUAGAUAAUGGAGGGAGCUCUGAUCUAGCGACGCCGCGUGCAGGAAGAAGGUCUUCGGAUUGUAAACUGCUGUGGUAAGGGAAAAAUGCUAUGUAGAGUGGAAAGCUACAUAGAGGGAUGGUACCUUACUAGAAAGCCCCGGCUAACUACGUGCCAGCAGCCGCGGUAAUACGUAGGGGGCGAGCGUUACCCGGAAUCACUAGGCGUAAAGGGAGCGUGGGUGGCCUAACAUGUCAACUGUGAAAACCCGGAGCUCAACUCCGGACUUGCAGUUGAAACUGGUAGGCUUGAGGACGGUAGAGGAAGACGGAACUGCCAGUGUAGGGGUAAAAUCCUUAGAUAUUGGCAGGAACGCCGGUGACGAAGGUGGUUUUCUGGGCCGGUUCUGACACUGAUGCUCGAAAGCCAGGGGAGCGAACGG
rnacentral:rRNA from 1 species